rnacentral:ncRNA from 1 species
AAUAGAGGCGCGGGCUUUAUCAGUAGUCCGAUCAACGCGCGGGAGAGCGCGGAUGAAAGGAAAGACCGCCGAAGUUUUUGGGCUUUUCCCGAGGCUCAGGAGCUGGGAUAACGCAGAAGAUGCGUUAUACUGUCGUUUUGGGGGCUUUCCCCGACGGAGUGCUAUUC